rnacentral:rRNA from 1 species
AACGAACGCUGGCGGCAUGCCUAACACAUGCAAGUCGAACGAGACCUUCGGGUCUAGUGGCGCACGGGUGCGUAACGCGUGGGAACCUGCCCUUGGGUUCGGAAUAACUCCCCGAAAGGGGUGCUAAUACCGGAUAAUGUCUUCGGACCAAAGAUUUAUCGCCUUUGGAUGGGCCCGCGUUGGAUUAGCUAGUUGGUAGGGUAAAAGCCUACCAAGGCGACGAUCCAUAGCUGGUCUGAGAGGAUGAUCAGCCACACUGGGACUGAGACACGGCCCAGACUCCUACGGGAGGCAGCAGUGGGGAAUAUUGGGCAAUGGGCGAAAGCCUGAUCCAGCAAUGCCGCGUGAGUGAUGAAGGCCUUAGGGUUGUAAAGCUCUUUUACCCGGGAUGAUAAUGACAGUACCGGGAGAAUAAGCUCCGGCUAACUCCGUG